rnacentral:piRNA from 1 species
UGGAAAGAUUCAGACACCCAAAACCUAUU